rnacentral:rRNA from 1 species
CAUGAGUGGCGGACGGGUGAGUAACGCGUGGGCAACCUGGCCUGUACAGGGGGAUAACACUUAGAAAUAGGUGCUAAUACCGCGUAACGGGAGAAGCCGCAUGGCUUUUUCCUGAAAACUCCGGUGGUACAGGAUGGGCCCGCGUCUGAUUAGCCAGUUGGCAGGGUAACGGCCUACCAAAGCGACGAUCAGUAGCCGGCCUGAGAGGGUGGACGGCCACAUUGGGACUGAGACACGGCCCAAACUCCUACGGAAGGCAGCAG